rnacentral:sRNA from 1 species
CUGCCGGUGACAAACCGGAGGAAGGUGGGGAUGACGUCAAGUCCUCAUGGCCCUUAUAGGUGGGGCUACACACGUCAUACAAUGGCUGGUACAAAGGGUUGCCAACCCGCGAGGGGGAGCUAAUCCCAUAAAACCAGUCGUAGUCCGGAUCGCAGUCUGCAACUCGACUGCGUGAAGUCGGAAUCGCUAGUAAUCGUGGAUCAGAAUGUCACGGUGAAUACGUUCCCGGGUCUUGUACACACCGCCCGUCACACCAUGGGAGCGGGUUCUGCCAGAAGUAGUUAGCCUAACCGCAAGGAGGGCGAUUACCACGGCAGGGUUCGUGACUGGGGUGAAGUCGUAACAAGGUAGCCGUAUCGGAAGGUGCGGCUGGAUCACCUCCUUUCUGGAAACAAGCAAUUUAAUUUAAACGCCCACACUUAUCGGUUGUUGGAAGAAGUCGAAAUCGUCAUUGAUUCUCGAUUGGGUCUGUAGCUCAGCUGGUUAGAGCACCGUCUUGAUAAGGCGGGGGUCGUUGGUUCGAGCCCAACUAGACCCACCAAAUCUUCUGAUUUCUCGUGUGAGAGUUUUGGGGGAUUAGCUCAGCUGGGAGAGCACCUGCUUUGCAAGCAGGGGGUCGUCGGUUCGAUCCCGUCAUCCUCCACCAAUAAAUCGAUACUUAAAAUUCAACACCAAAGCGGCUUCCUGCAAUGCAUGAGGCUUCUUUGUUGUUGAUCGAGAUCUCUUGAUCAAUCGGCUGUUCUUUAAAAAUNCAUAGAGUCGAAUCAGCGUUGCUGAUGGAAACUGCACAUUCGUAAAGGUUUAGUGCAGACCGUGCCAUCAGCAACAUAAAUUUUUGAUUGCGUCAAAANAAACUUCANUUNCNAGUCAAUCGAAUUUUGAAUGUANCGGCAUACCGCGUCAGGGGAAANACCUGANAAUUCCUGGGANGANUUUUGNANUUCNCAAAAANCGUCAANUUNAAGGGCANGGGAANAAAAACNCGNGGGGAUGCC